rnacentral:tRNA from 2 species
AUCCGUAGCUCAGCGGUCAGAGCAGGUGACUCAUAAUCUCUUGGUCGUCGGUUCAAAUCCGGCCGGAUCC